UACGUAGGGUGCAAGCGUUAAUCGGAAUUACUGGGCGUAAAGCGUGCGCAGGCGGUGAUGUAAGACAGGUAUGAAAUCCCCGGGCUUAACCUGGGAACUGCAUUUGUGACUGCAUCGCUGGAGUGCGGCAGAGGGGGAUGGAAUUCCGCGUGUAGCAGUGAAAUGCGUAGAUAUGCGGAGGAACACCGAUGGCGAAGGCAAUCCCCUGGGCCUGCACUGACGCUCAUGCACGAAAGCGUGGGGAGCAAACAGG
rnacentral:rRNA from 1 species